CUGGCUCAGGACGAACGCUGGCGGCGUGCUUAACACAUGCAGGUUGAACGGUAUGACAUGGAAGCUUGCUGAAGUGUCAUAUAGUAGCGGACGGGUGAGUAAUGCAUGAGAAGCUGCCAUUGGGAGGGGGACAACAGUUGGAAGCGGCUGCUAAUACCCCGUAUGCCGGAGGGUGAAAGGGAGUAAUCCGCCCGAUGAGGUGCUCAUGUCCUAUCAGCUGGUUGGUGGGGUAACGGCCUACCAAGGCGACGACGGGUAGCCGGCCUGAGAGGGGUGAACGGCCACACUGGAACUGAGAUACGGUCCAGACUCCUACGGGAGGCAGCAGUGGGGAAUAUUUGGGGCAAUGGGGGGCAACCCUGACCCAGCGACGCCGCGUGGGGGAAGACGGCCUUCGGGUUGUAAACCUCUUUUGUACGGGAAGAAGGAAGUGACGGUACUGUACGAAUAAGUCCCGGCUAACUACGUGCCAGCCGCCGC
rnacentral:rRNA from 1 species